rnacentral:rRNA from 1 species
AUGUCUAAACGACUCUCGGCAACGGAUAUCUCGGCUCUCGCAUCGAUGAAGAACGUAGCGAAAUGCGAUACUUGGUGUGAAUUGCAGAAUCCCGUGAACCAUCGAGUCUUUGAACGCAAGUUGCGCCCGAAGCCGUUAGGCCGAGGGCACGUCUGCCUGGGCGUCACACGCCGUUGCCCCCCCCGACCCCUCCGGGGGCCGAACGGGACGGAUGA